rnacentral:rRNA from 1 species
UACGUAGGGGGCAAGCGUUGUCCGGAUUUAUUGGGCGUAAAGAGCGUGUAGGCGGCCAGACAGGUCCGUUGUGAAAACUCGAGGCUCAACCUCGAGAUGUCGAUGGAAACCGUCUGGCUAGAGUCCGGAAGAGGAGUGUGGAAUUCCUGGUGUAGCGGUGGAAUGCGCAGAUAUCAGGAAGAACACCCGUGGCGAAGGCGGCUCUCUGGAACGCAACUGACGCUGAGACGCGAAAGCGUGGGGAGCAAACAGG